rnacentral:ncRNA from 1 species
CCUUAUCAAGAGUGGCUGAGGGAAUAGGCCCGAAGACGCCCGGCAACCUAGGUGCUUGUAAGAGAAACAGAGCAGAAAAGGUGCUAAAUCCUACAGAAGCAUUUGCAGAGU